CUUCCACACACUUUCAGUGUGAAUUUGAAUCAGAUUUUUAACAUUUUUAAGUGCUUACAAAUAGAGGCAUCUCAAUGGAAACUAGUUCAUGCUGUGUAAAAUGGGAAAACCAGUACUCCUCUAUAUCCCUGGGAGGCUGUGAGGACGAAUACCUGAAUGAUCCUAAAGCACUCUGAUACUAUGGUAAUAAGGGUCACCUAAGAUUGCAGCAGGCUUCAUGGUGGCUGGUGAAAUUGAGACUGGAAGAUGAAACACUACAAAAUGAGAUUGGAGGGUGAGCAGCGGAGAAGGAAAGAGAGCAUAAGGGCAACUUUUCCAAGAAUCACUGGUGAGGCCUUACCUGGAGUAGUGUGUCUCAUUUGGCGCACUUCAAGAAGACGUGGACAAACAGGAAGGAUCCAGAGAAGAGCCGCAGAAUUUAUUAGAGAUUUAGAAAAGACCUAUGAAUAAAUGUUGGAAGAACUGGUACUGUUUAGUCUGGAAAAGAGAAGAUUAAAGGAGAUUCGACAACAGUUUUCAACAAUAUAGAAACGAUUUUUAUAAAGAGGAAGGUGAUCAACUAUUUUUGUGUCCAAAGAGGGCAGGACAAAAAGUAAUGGAAUUAAAUUGCAAUAAGGAAAGCUUUAGGUUGGAUAGUUAGAACUUUUCUAACUAUGAGGGUGGUUAAGUGGUGGAACAGAUUACCUCAGAAAGUUGUGAGAUAUCCAUAAUUAGAAAUAUUUGAGAUCACUGUAAACAAACAUUUGUUUGGGAUGGUUCAGAUGGGGAUGUAGGAAGUUAAACCAGAUGAUCUUUCCAUCAUGUUUUUCUCCAACUUUAUCAAGUCAUUUGUUUUGUUCUGAAUUUUUAAAAUUUUAUUAAGAUAAGCCUUAUCAACAUUAUAGAAAGUUUAAGCAUAAAAGUCAAGUUUUCUCUUUAAAAUACCAACAAGAAUAUUUUCACUAGUUCUGAUAAUGAUUCAAAUUUCUUCACACUCCUUCAAUGGGCAAACUAAGGAAAACAAAUCUGGGAAUGUUUUGUUGUCACAGUCUUAAAAGCAUAAGAGGAAAUAAAAUGUCAAAUUUGGGGUCAGGGAGGAAUUUUACCCUGCAGUCAGAUUGGCAUGGGCUGUAGAGGUUUUUGCCUCCUACAGUCCUUUUCCUAGGACCUUCUGAGCAUACAUUAACCCUCUUGUUGUAAUGACAGGGCAUUGGCUAUGUCCUCAUCUCCCCUGCUGUUAUCUAUGGGAGAUUACAGAGUGGUGCUGGUGUUUCAGGUAUUGUGCCUUGAGGGUUGGAAGUGAUGAUUGGGUGAUCCAUUGUAUAAACAAUUAACCGGCAAACACAGAGAACUGCAUGCAGUGGCCCAGGCAUCCCUUCCACUCCUAUACUUCUGUGUAUAAAAGUAUACCUUGAAUCCAGGCAUAUGCUCAUUUAUCUCUGGUGAUACCAAAGCCCUUGUAUCAGUCAUAACUGAAAGUCAUCCACCUCUUCAUUCAGCUGGAGUGAAACAUAGCAACUGCUUCAGAGAACUGAGAAAAAAUGUAAAAAAAAUGGCAAAGGAAGUGGGGAAAAAAUGUUGCAUCCAAGUUGAAACUCCAGGAAAAAUUUCAGGUAGGAAAAAUGUAAUUAUCCAGGCUGGAAUCUUGCCAGGAUACUAUUCAUUUUGCAAACUUGACAUUUCUCAAAAUCAAAUAACAGAUGUUCUUGUGAACUUCUGUCAGGCAUAAAUUUUCUUAAUUAACUCUAUGAGUACUGCUUUGAC